rnacentral:rRNA from 1 species
UUUGAACGUUCGAUCUCAAAUCAGGUAGGACUACCCGCUGAACUUAAGCAUAUCAAUAAGCGGAGGAAAAGAAACUAACAAGGAUUCCCCUAGUAACUGCGAGUGAAGCGGGAAGAGCUCAAUUUAAAAUCUGGCGUGCCUCUGGUCGUCCGAGUUGUAGUCUAGAGAAGUGUUUCCGUGCUGGACGG